CACAAAUGCUGGUUCUGGUAAACCUAACGCAAGACCUUGGGAUAGAAUUUAAACUAUGAGAAUUGCAUCUUAUUUCGGAACUGAUGGCAAUGUUUAAGUCUUAUUGUAUAAAUAAUCAAGUACAACAAAGAAGAUCUGUUAUAAGAGGGACGAGUGCCAGAAUGAAGUCUGGGAAAUAAAUAGUUGUUGCAGUAGAUUUGGAAAAGCAGGAAGAGCCCUCUCUCUCCCGAUGCUGAAACCUUGGUCAUUGGUUGAUCUGUAGCACUCGCUGCGCACUGCCGGGCUCUGUUCCCUGGCUGCUUUUCCAUUGCUAAGCAUCAGCAAACCUAUCGUGAUGUUCUGUUUUUAGGAAUUCUUUGACAGUGGGAAACUUGCCCUCCCUCCCUCCUUUCCCUUCUUUGUCUUGCUUUGUAGUACAGGCUGGCCUCGAACUCACUGUUACCCUCCUGCCUCAGACUCCCCAUUGCUGGGAUUGCAGGCAUGCGCCACCACGCCCGGCACUCAAUUUAAAUACAGUCCAUGUAACAUUUAACUUUACUGCCACCGCACCCUCCUCAUGCAGUCUUGUUAAGAGGAGCUAUGGAACUUUACCACUGUAUUGCUGUUUUAGUUCUCAUUGACUAAUACCGUAGUGCCAGAGGCUAAAUGAGUAUUGGCUCAACGAAUGAAUUUAAUUAGUCCCAGAAGAUCAAGUGGUGAUAGAAAGACUUGAUAUCUUAUCCUUUGACAGAACAUGUUGUAAAGGAUAAAAUAGCCUUGAUUUGCUACUGGUCUCAGUGAGUGCCUUCGGUCAACACACCAGAAAAUCCAGGACUUCUGGGACUGUUGGGAGCAGUUUGAUGGAGAAAACAGAAUGUCAACUGGGCUUUGAAGAAGAAUUAAGAGACUUCCUGUAACAUGCAGUGAAGAGUAAUUCACUUACACAAGAGAGAUGUGUGCCAUGAACAUCUGUUCUUAUCUAUUGCCUUGGAGGAAGAAGGAACCCUCUUUUUGUCCAGUGUUAAUGUUUCUAAUUGUAAUUGCGAG
ensembl:lncRNA